UACAGAGGGUGCAAGCGUUGUCCGGAAUUAUUGGGCGUAAAGGGCUCGUAGGCGGUUUGUCGCGUCGGGAGUGAAAACACCGGGCUUAACUCCGAGCCUGCUUCCGAUACGGGCAGACUAGAGGUAGGCAGGGGAGAGCGGAACUCCUGGUGUAGCGGUGGAAUGCGCAGAUAUCGAGAGGAACACCUGCGGCGAAGGCGGGUUGCUGGGCUGACACUGACGCUGAUGCGCGAAAGCUAGGGGAGCGAAGCGGG
rnacentral:rRNA from 1 species